UUCCCCUGAUACCGGAUUUCUCUCUCCAGGGUCCCCGAGCCCAGGGCACAGUAUCACUUUCUUCCUAAACUGGAACGGGGCCAGAUAUGCAUGCUGCCUGCCACUGUUGUCGGUGCACACUUCCAGAGGUUUCUGUGGAAUUCAGGCUUCAGUAAACACUCGAGGAGCAGGAAGUGGGCCAAGAAAUGAGAAAGCUGGGAGGGAGAAAUAUGAAGACUGAACUGUGCCCUGCACCAGCCUCCGCCCCCAAGCUAAGGAAUGCAAAAGAACAUUUCCUCAGAUCAGGACAACAAGUGGAGAUGGAUACCUGAGGAUCUGUUGGAGAGGAUUUGGCUGGAAGAUUCUAAACUCUCUUUAGCUCCACGCCUUCAUUACUGCUGAGCUGAGAAUUUCAUAAAUGCAAAGAUGGGAAGAAUCUUAGAAGUCAUCUGGCUCAGAGAUUCUCCAUUGUUUAGACUUUAUCAAAACUGGAAGUUUGAAAACUGAAGAGGGAGAGGGAGAUGUCUGAGAGCUUUUUGUCUGGAAAACCACAAAUUUCAAAUACACACAGCUAUCUUGUGUGGCA